UACGUAGGCAGCAAGCGUUGUUCGGAUUUACUGGGCGUAAAGAGUAUGUAGGCGGUUGGGUAAGUUUGGUGUGAAAUCUCCCGGCUUAACUGGGAGGGUGCGCUCAAGACUGCCUGGCUCGAGUGUGGGAGAGGAAAGCGGAAUUCCUGGUGUAGCGGUGAAAUGCGUAGAUAUCAGGAGGAACACCUGCGGUGUAGACGGCUUUCUGGACCAUAACUGACGCUGAGGAGCGAAAGCGUGGGGAGCGAACAGG
rnacentral:rRNA from 1 species